rnacentral:rRNA from 1 species
AACGAACGCUGGCGGCAGGCUUAACACAUGCAAGUCGAACGGUUGUAGCAAUACAGCAGUGGCGCACGGGUGAGUAACGCGUGGGAACAUACCUUAGAGUUCGGAAUAACAGCGGGAAACUGCUGCUAAUACCGGAUACUCCCUCCGGGGGAAAGAUUUAUCGCUCUAAGAUUGGCCCGCGUCAGAUUAGCUAGUUGGUGGGGUAACGGCCUACCAAGGCUCCGAUCUGUAGCUGGUCUGAGAGGACGACCAGCCACACUGGAACUGAGA